rnacentral:rRNA from 1 species
GAUUUGAAAGUAGUUUUUUUUUAGCUGUUUUGAAAAGUCUUAUGAAGGAGGUGUGUUUAGUCUCAAUUUCUCGUCUUUUUGCUGAGUUAUCAAAACAUUAGCGGUUAAGCAAGUGCCAGCACCCGCGGUUAGACUUGAGCUAAAAGUUAAAUAAAAAAGGCUAAUUUACCUUAAAUUUAAUUGUCUUCUAAUGAAGUUGAUUUUCAAGUUUAAAAAGGCGGUUAAAUGAUUCGGAGUUGUUCCCGAGUAAUCUGUUUUAAACUAAGUCGGGUAUUACCCAAACUUUGUGGCUGUUUCCAUGGUAAAAAUAGAGAAAUUUGAGUUUUGGCCAAUCCCCCUUGUUGUCUAUUUUUUAAAGGUUUGUGUGUGGUUGUCUAAAAAUUCCUGAAACUUAAAAUUUAUGGUCAGAUAACAUUCAACUUAAAAAAUCAACUCGAAUUGCAAAAAUUAUAUUUACUACGUUUUUAAAGUUAUCAGGAUUUAUUAGUAAGAUUAACGCACUGAAUAUAAUUCAUCAAAGUUCAUAUCGUCCGUCACUCCCGUAAUGGGAUAAGUCGUAGCAAAGUAAUGCUUGCGGAAUCAGGUGUUG